rnacentral:siRNA from 1 species
GAGAAUUAGGGUUCGAUUCCG